GUGUGUGUGUGUGUGUGUCCCACUAUAAAGAGCCUACACUACACACAUACGGUUCUGUCUCCGUAUCUACAUCUACCCUUCCUUUCCUUUAUUCACUACCAUCAUCUCCUCCUCCAGUCCAUCCCAGUCACCUACACUCCUACGAGGACACCCACACUUAAAACACGACGUCCUCAGGCACUCGAGAUUUCGACUCAAGAUGAAGUAAAGUGAUCUAAAAAAUGUUUGUGUGGUUAGUUUUACAAUUUUGCGUUUUGUUUUAUCGAAUUAUCCAUUACCGUAAACAUUGUUAUGGUACCUUUACAUGACCAUGACUUAAUUUACAUGCAUUGUGUUUGGUUAACUGUAUUUUUCGCGGGCAAGAAAAAUCUAUCUAUACGUCAGCCAGUCAAAGCAUGUCUCUCUGGACCAAUGGCAGGCUACCACACAGUAAACCUCAGCCAAUAGCGAGCCACUAGUUCGUCACGAGGCGCCAUUAUUCACAUUACACAGGGAAGUGUACAGAAGGAACUCAGCCCCGGGUGAGAGUGGGCGUCUCUGCUUCUUUGCUGCCCGACCGAGAACCUGCUGGCUACCUUAGGAACAUAACGAUAUUGGAGUGCCAUAAAGUGUUGAGGUUUGUGUUGGUAAGCGUGAUUAGAAGAGGAAAACCCUAUUUCGUCACCUUUAUGUAAGGGUUCGUGCAAGGAGGCAGUACCUGAGAACUGGGCAGGUGUGAAGGUCAUAGGUAAGAGUUUUGCGCGAGGAGGCAGUACCUGAGAGCUAGACAGGUGUGAGGCUCUUGGGUAAGUGUUUCUCUCACCUUUCGCCGUUUGUCUGCAGGUAACACUACGCGGGAAGAAAUUUGUGAGGCAGUUAUACGGUGUGUGUUUUAUUUUUUUCCCCUCUGUUUUAUUUUUAUCUUCAUGAAUUGUAUGCUCAUGUAUUUGCACGAUAGUAGGUGUUGUACUGUGUGUGUGUGUGUGUGUGUGUGUGUGUGUGUGUGUGUGUGUGUGUGUGUGAUUUAUAGUACAAAGGAAUAUACAUAUCGUGGUAUUUUUUACUUAUUCCUACAUAAAUUUUUCAUUCAUUUAUUUUCCAUUGCACUCCUAAUUGUCUAUGUAUUUCUAUGUAUACUCUUAGAAAACUACUUCCUUUUUUUCCAUCAACGCUUCUCCUCUGUGUGUGUGUGUGUGUGUGUGUGUGUGUGUGUGUGUGUGUGUGUGUGUGUGUGUGUGUGUGCAAAACUCCCGCCAAAAGUAUCAUGUUUUCGGUCGUAUAAUGUUCAGAGGAGUUAAUUUUUCAAUGUAAUACAAAACUCCUGAUGUUUUUAUUCAACUUUUCGCAUCCAUUAUGUGUGUAUUCGACGUGUAAGCCGAUAUGCAUUUGUCCGCCCGCCUAUUAUUGUGAAAAAUUGUUGCCUACUUUUUCAAUACGAUGGAGAAAAAUUAUUAGAAAAGGAGGAACAUGAGAAGAGAGAAAUUGAAGGAUAAAGUUACAAAAGCCAGAGGACGAUGAGAAGAAAGGAGGGGAAAUUAGGAUGAAAGACGAGAUAGAAAUGAGGUGAUAAGUAGGAGAUGGCGAGUAAGGAAGGAGGAUAUGAAGUAGGAGGAAAGAAAUGUUCAGACGAGGAAAGCAAACUCGACAAGGGAAGUUUAAGUGUAAAGCUGAAGUCAUAAAUGCCAUGAACUUCCAUUUUUGUUACGAGUUAUUUUAGUCAGAGGGCAAGUCAGUGAGAAAUAUCAUUCUUCCAUACAUGAAUUAGUUUAAAUUCUUCAGUGGUUCAAAUAAACGUUGUAUACAUUCAUGCAUUUGUAUGAUAUGUGUACAAUAUUUGAUUUCAAGCACAGAAUGCAUUUUAUUGUACAGUAUUGCUUUCAUUAUUUUCCUUUACCAUACGUUAGUUUAGUUUUUUCGGUGAUUGCACUACGUUAAGCCUUUCAUUGCCCAUAAAACUUUUGAUCUUAGUAACUCAAGGCAAUGAUACUAAUGAAAAAUGGAACUACAAACACAUGAUAACAUUUUACUUUGUGUGAUCUUUGAAAAUUACAAUGUAAACUUGUUUUUUGCUGUAAAAUUGUUUAUUUCUUGUCCUUUGCUGUAUAUUAUUUUCAUGGUGGCAAUAUUACUUUUACACUGAUUACAAAUAACACUUUUAUUUCAGCAGCCUAGAACAAUAUUACUAAAACAAAAAUUAAACUACAAUCACUCAAUAACAUUUUGACUUGUGUGUCAUUUAAAAAUUUACAACCUACACUUCUGAACCCUUUGCAGCAAGAUGACAAGUAACCGUGGCAGUCAAGGGUUAACGUGGCUAAAGUGACUAAUGUUCCGUGAGAGAAUAAUGCCAGACGAGCAGACAUGGCAAUACGUGUGUCAGUUUUUGCCUGACACAACGCAGCGUGAGAAAAAAAAAAAAAAAAUUAUUGUACGUAUCCUUCACUCCCACUAAUCUGAGUCACAUUUGAUACUGGGACUGACUGAACGUUACAUGUGUGUGUGUAUGUGUGUGUGUGUGUGUGUGUGUAGCUCUAGUAUACUCGUACAUGACCUGAGCUAUACUUCUGGUUAGGUUUACGUGUGUGUGUGUGUGUGUGUGUGUGUGUGUGUGUGUGUGUGUGUGUUCGCGUGUGUGCGUGCGUCGGGUUCCGUGCGUGCGAGUCGUAUUGUGGGUUUUCGUGCAUGUACGUCAUCUGCCUCGUGACUGGCGUGUGUACGUAUGUGGGUGUGUGUGUGUGUACGUACUUACAUGGUGGUCGGGGCGCCAUGCUCACGCCACUCACCAUUAUUAUUAUUAUUAUUAUUAUUAUUAUUAUUAUUAUUAUUAUUAUUAUUAUUAUUAUUAUUAUUAUUACUACUACUACUACCACUACUACUACUACUACUACUACUACUACUACUACUACUACUACUACUACUACUACUACUACUACUACUACUACUACUACUACUACUACUACUACUACUAUCUUUAUCAUUAUUUGUUUUGAACUGAUUUGCUUUUUUUCUUGUUUUUUUAUAAACUGAUUUUUGGUGUGGUGGUGAUGGUGGUGAUGUGGUAAAGAUGUAGUAGUGAUGGUAGCUUGAUGUGGUGGUGAUGGUGGUGAUGUUGGUUACGGUGAUGUGGUGCGGUGGUGGUAAUUGUGGUGUUGGUGAUCCUGGUGGUGUGUGUGUGUGUUGCGCAUGCGUAGUGGUGGUGAUGAAAGUGAUUACGAAAUGUGUGGCACUAGAAUUACAACGAUUAUAAUGAAGGAAAAGAUAAAUGCCUUAUAGAUAUUACGAAAUGAUAUAUACAAAUAUAAUGAAAACGAGGUAAAUGAGAAUUUUGAACUAUCGUGUUUCAGACCAUCGUAAUAAUAAAGAUACAAUAGAAAGAAAUAGACAGAACUAAACAAAGAGAACAUAAAAAUAAUAAAUAAACAAAACAAAGAGAACAUAAAAAUAAUAAAUAAACAAAGAAAUUUUCUCCCUUAUUUUUUUUUGCACAAAUAAAAAAAAAAAGAAAAAGUGCACUGAGAAAUCUUUCAGUACCCAUUUUUUUCAUAUUUAAUUUCCUGACAGCAAGAAAAGUGUGAGGAAAAUAUAUAAAGUUCAGGGAGUGUAUUGCAGUAAAGUAUACAAUAAAUGUCACUUAUAUACAUCACCUACACUUUUAUUCCUUCACUUUAAACUUUUACACUUGCAGGUACGAGAGGUGACAGACUGACAUGUGGACCGUGGGAGUGCAGGUGUGUGACUGAUACACCUGUUCACCUAUCUACACACCUGACAAUUUUACAUAUCUACACACUUGACAGUCUUUUGUAAUA